CGAUAAUGUCUAGACUUCGGGAAUAGACCUCGUUACUCUAAUUCGAUAUACUUUGGUCGUAUUCACUAUCGAUGUUUAUAACGCAUGCGAUAAAUAUUUCGCACAUUAAAAUAUUAUCAAUUUAAUCAAAGCAUUUCAAGGAAGGAACUGCUCGUUCGUACACCUACCUCCAAACAGUCCAAACAAACAACUGUGCAUGUAAACUGCGACUGAGAUAGUCGGUGAUGUAAACAAACAAAUUUUCACACAAAAUACAAUUAAAACGACUAAAAUAUAUACUGCAACUACCGUUUUGUAUAUUACAAGCCCUAUCCGAAUGUCGGCAAUUGGUUACACGAGAGGAUUAUGUGACAGAGACCACGAUCUUAAUAUCCAAUUAUCCAUCAGUCAUCAGCCAUCACCUACCUGCUGCAGACCGACUACAAUUCCGGUUUUCUAGAACGGUUUCCACACACUUUUCCGUGCUCAUUUUUGACUACGUAGCUUCCAACAUGUCUAUAAACGAAUUCUUCGAUGGCUUAACAUCCUAUGACGAACGCAAUUUUUCUAGAUUCGUUUCAAAAAAUAGUGAAAGGAAGCCUUCACCAGUUUACAUAAAACAAAAGACGAACCUUC